rnacentral:lncRNA from 1 species
AGAGAGAACAACUGCAUAGAAAUUCAGUUUAAUUUGCAGCACAGACUCUGAUGCAGAAAACUCGAAGAUUAGAGAUCCUGUUUGCCCCACACAAAUGUAAUGUGCACAGUAGCACUAAGUACAAUGAAGGUGUGAAUGAGCAGCCAGGAGCAGAGAUGGCCUAAGAUGACUUAAGCAGAACUACUGCUGAAGAUGUAACCACAGGCUCAAAGUUCAUGCUACUUCUGGUAACUGUCUUGGAUGGCUCAGAGAUAGGACUGCUGCUAGACAGGAGUACUAUUGGAAGGCCUUGGAACAGACCCCCCACUCAAGGGUUAAAAGAUGGCUAUUACUAAAAUCCAAAACAUUUAUUCUUUCCUUGCUCAUCUUCUCUUCUCAGAUGUCAUCAUAUGAAUGCAAUAUGACACAUCAAAAAACCCCAACA